UACGUAGGUGGCAAGCGUUGUCCGGAAUUAUUGGGCGUAAAGCGCGCGCAGGUGGUUUCUUAAGUCUGAUGUGAAAGCCCACGGCUCAACCGUGGAGGGUCAUUGGAAACUGGGGAACUUGAGUGCAGGAGAGAAGAGUGGAAUUCCACGUGUAGCGGUGAAAUGCGUAGAGAUGUGGAGGAACACCAGUGGCGAAGGCGACUCUUUGGCCUGUAACUGACACUGAGGCGCGAAAGCUGGGGGAGCAAACAGG
rnacentral:rRNA from 1 species